AGCUUCUUCAUCCACAGAUUUCUCUCCUCCUUGGUGUCAGCACUCAGCCAAUUUCUGCACAGGAAAACAAGCAGAGUAUGUUGACUGUCAUCAAGCCACUCUUCAGGAUAGGAGAUGCAGUAUCCUGACAGGACGCACCAUCGUCUGUGCCAAGCUCCAAACCCACUAACAUCUUCAAACAUCGUCUGUGAUUUCCCGUUUCUGCACCUGAAAGGGAACAGCACUGUGCAGCAUCAGUAACACUGCAAAACAGAAACUUACAGAAGACUAUGAACAGACGGUGUCACAGAAAUACAGCGUUAGUACUUGCAGAACGAGGACACGUACCAGACAGUAUACUUCUAGACUGAUGUCAAAGCCACUGUCAACGUCAGAUCUGAAAGUCAAAGAUUCUCCUCAGCAAUCAGUAAAUAAAUUAUGUUUAGUUAAUAGUGUUUAACAACAGAGGCGACGUGCUGAAAUGAUGAGUGACCACAGCGGUGUGACUGAAGGCCAACAGUGGCUCCACUAACUGCUUCUGACUCACAUAGUGAACUUGGUGGGGAAGGUGAGGGUGUCGCCACUCAGGCCACGGUGUGUCGUGGCUAAAGGCGUGGCCACAAUGUUCUCUGCUCCCGCCCUGAUCAUGAUGAAAAAUGAAUGUUUGGUAGACUCUGAAAUAAUGGAAACAAACAGCAUGACAACAUUAGUAUGAAAUUGUGGGAUUUCACUCUGACUGUGAAGAUUCUUAAAACUGACAAAUAACAGUUUGAUAAAAGCACUCAUUUGAGAUGUGGUCUAAUGGAGAACAUGGAGAACUGUAGAGUUAUGGAUCGUGUACCUGGUUUAUUGGCAGUGGAACAGACAAAGUCAGCCUUGAGAGGCAGGCGUAGCUCCUGCAGGGUGAUGCAGCCUUUGGAGGCCAUCGGCUGUGGGGCUGCAGGCCCCUCUUUCCUUCCUCCUGGAUUUCCUUUCAGCUGGUCCAGCUCCACCUUCAGUGCUUCUCUCUUUUCGCCUGAGGCCAUCAAACGUAAACAAAGUCAUGUCUUUGGGCCAAACCAUGUCCCUCGUUAAUCUUCUAAACACCGACAUGUGGAACUCUAACAUCGACACUGGACUCUGUGAUCGUGCUAUGUGAACAACCUUGAGCUGACUAAGGAAACAUUAGAGAUGUGCUUACUUGCCACCAGCAGCAGCCUCUCUGCCUCAGCCUCCACCUGCGAGCCUUUCCCGUGUUCUUCAUCUGUGCAGCAGUUGAGUGCCUGGCUGGCUUGAUAGAUAACCGUCUGCUGCAGGUUGAUUUCAUUUGUCAGAAUCUACACAAAAGGCUGGAUGCUCGGGGCUCCUCGGCUCUCUUAGAAACGUCUUCUUUUCUCACAAUAACCUGCUUCACACUGGGCCUCUCGGUGUUCUUCACCCUGGUUGACCUGUAU